UACGUAGGUGACAAGCGUUUGUCCGGAUUUACUGGGCGUAAAGAGCGCGCAGGCGGUCGAUCAAGUCGAGUGUGAAAGCCCCCGGCUCAACUGGGGAGGGUCAUUCGAAACUGGUCGACUCGAAGGCAGGAGAGGGUAGUGGAAUUCCCGGUGUAGUGGUGAAAUGCGUAGAUAUCGGGAGGAACACCAGUGGCGAAGGCGACUACCUGGCCUGUUCUUGACGCUGAGGCGCGAAAGCUAGGGGAGCAAACGGGG
rnacentral:rRNA from 1 species